UACGGAGGGUGCAAGCGUUAUCCGGAUUCACUGGGUUUAAAGGGUGCGUAGGUGGCUAUUUAAGUCAGUGGUGAAAGCCCGCGGCUCAACCGUGGAAUUGCCAUUGAAACUGAAUAGCUUGAGUACAGUUGAAGUGGGCGGAAUAUGUCAUGUAGCGGUGAAAUGCUUAGAUAUGACAUAGAACACCGAUUGCGAAGGCAGCUCUCUGGACCGAUACUGACGCUGAGGCGCGAAAGCGUGGGGAGCAAACAGG
rnacentral:rRNA from 1 species